rnacentral:rRNA from 1 species
UGAUGCAGCCAUGCCGCGUGUGUGGAAGAAAGGCCUUCGGGUUGUAAAGCACUUUCAGUAGGGAGGAAGGUAGUGUAGUUAACACCUGCAUUAUUUGACGUUACCUACAGAAGAAGCACCGGCUAACUCCGUGCCAGCAGCCGCGGUAAUACGGAGGGUGCGAGCGUUAAUCGGAAUUACUGGGCGUAAAAGCGCAUGCAGGCGGCCUGUUAAGUCAGAUGUGAAAGGCCCGGGGCUUAAACCUCGGAAUUGCAUUUGAAAACUGGCAGGCUAGAGUCUUGUAGGAGGGGGUAGAAUUUCAGGUGUAGCGGUGAAAUGCGUAGAGAUCUGAAGGAAUACCAGUGGCGAACGGCGGCCCCCUGGACAAAGACUGACGCUCAGAUGCGAAAGCGUGGGGAGCAAACAGGAUUAGAUACCCUGGUAG